rnacentral:rRNA from 1 species
UACAGAGGGUGCGAGCGUUAAUCGGAAUUACUGGGCGUAAAGCGUGCGCAGGCGGCUUUGCAAGACAGAUGUGAAAUCCCCGGGCUUAACCUGGGAACUGCAUUUGUGACUGCAAGGCUAGAGUACGGUAGAGGGGGAUGGAAUUCCGCGUGUAGCAGUGAAAUGCGUAGAUAUGCGGAGGAACACCGAUGGCGAAGGCAAUCCCCUGGACCUGUACUGACGCUCAUGCACGAAAGCGUGGGGAGCAAACAGG